rfam:Finegoldia magna ATCC 29328 DNA, complete genome.
UUUGGUGUGUAACCGCUCGAAUCGGGUUUUCAAACUUUAAAAGUACCUUGAUUUGGCGAGUCUUAAAAAUGAG